CUAUUAGAUUGAUAAUCGUUUUUCAUGUAUUGUUGUUGUAGACAUUCAACCGUGUAUUACUCUUUUGAAUGUUUUUACAUUUUGCUUACGUAAGAUACUUUGAACGACAAAAAUUAUUCUUUAUUUCUUCCUGUGUGACGUUCACAUUCUGACGUCAAACACUCGACACUACACUAGAGUUGAUGUGAAUGCAGCCACGGCACUUCAAAUAUUUCAAUCCUUUAUGUGUUGAUUUAAAAUACAUAUAUAAGUAAGCAAUGAGUGUUGUUUUUAAAUUUGAUAGAUAUUCUUUGUGCUUCUUUUUUAAAUAAGUGUAUGUUUCUGUUCUAAUUGAGGUUGGCUGUGACACAAUGAUGACUGCUGUACCCC
rnacentral:lncRNA from 1 species